rnacentral:rRNA from 1 species
ACAGCCUAAUACAUGCAAGUCGAGCGAACAGAAAAGGAGCUUGCUCCUUUGACGUAGCGGCGGACGGGUGAGUAACACGUGGGCAACCUACCUUAUAGUUUGGGAUAACUCCGGGAAACCGGGGCUAAUACCGAAUAAUCUAUUUCACUUCAUGGUGAAAUACUGAAAGACGGUUUCGGCUAGUCGCUAUAAGAUGGGCCCGCGGCGCAUUAGCUAGUNUGGUGAGGUAACGGCUCACCAAGGCAACGAUAGCGUAGCCGACCUGAGAGGGUAGAUCGGCCACACUGGGACUGAGACACGGCCCAGACUACCUACGGGAGGCAGCAGUAGGGAAUCUUCCACAAUGGGCGAAGGCCUGAUGGAGCAACGCCGCGUGAGUGAAGAAGGUUUUCGGAUCGUAAAACUCUGUUGUAAGGGAAGAACAAGUACAGUAGUAACUGGCUGUACCUUGACGGUACCCUU